GCCACGCCCGAAGUCAUUACCCCAACCGCAAGGGGGGGGAUGCCUAAGGUAGGACUGAUGACUGGGGUGAAGUCGUAACAAGGUAGCCGUACCGGAAGGUGUGGCUGGAUCACCUCCUUUUAGGGAGACCUAUCCAUUUAGAAAUCGAAAAAAUGAAAAUUGUCAAUAGAAACUAAAUUGGUCUAACCUAGGUCGUUCGAGAUUGGUAGAUAUCUUUCAAAGUAUUAUUCGGCUUUGUUCAAAACCAUAGAUAAUAAAUGGAAAAAAGACAGCACCUAAUUGUCAAAGUUAGACUGCUGGAUGAAAUUCCAGCCAGAACCUUGAAAACUGCAUAAGAGAACGAGAAAAAGCAGGCAGACACAGACAUUUGAAUGGAUGUGAAAGCAAAGAAAAAUUGUGGUCAAGCUAAUAAGGGCUAAUGGUGGAUACCUAGGCACACAGAGG
rnacentral:misc_RNA from 1 species